AUGAGCAGCGAACAGGAACACCCGGAGACGUCGGAGCUGGAGGAGGAGGCGGAGAAGGACGAGGACGCCGCCAUCGUGGAGCUGGUGACGGAGCUGAAGCAGGAAGGCACGACGCUGUUCCGGCUGCGGGACUACGACGGCGCGGCGUUCAAGUUCGACGAGGCGAUCCGGCUGUCCCCUCGGGCCCCGCGCGCGUACAACGAGAACGACAUCGCCUCCCUCCACAGCAACGUGGCGGCGUGCUACAUGCACAUGAACGCGCACCGCCCCGAGGACGACUACCACUACCACCAGGCCAUCGACCGGUGCAACAUGGCCCUGGACGCGUCGCCGAGGUACACCAAGGCGCUCCUGAAGCGGGCGCGCUGCUUCGAGGCGCUGGACCGGCUGGACCUGGCCUGCGUCGACGUGCAGGAGGUGCUGACCCUAGAGCCCAACAACGCGGUCGCGCUGGAGCUCCUCGAGAACCUCCGGGAGGAGAUGGAGGAGAAGAAGUUCCUGCUGGAGCAGGAGGCCCGGUCGCUGGACGACCUCAUCAAGGUCAUCUCCGCCAGCGAGAAGGUGGCCAAGCAGUUCAGCUGUACCAUCGCUACCGCCGCAGACCCUGCUAAGAAGGCCGUUUCGACGGAGACGGAUGAUCAGGACGCGGAGGCGAUAUUGAUCCACGGUGACGGUGAGCAGGACGACGAGCAGGCGAGCUACGACGACAAUGACGGGGAAGAAGCACCGAGUGGCCAGACGGAGGAGGAGGCGCAUGUAGGCGAUCAGAGUGGGCAGAACAAGCAGGAAGACGGAGACAACGCAGAGCAUGGCUCUGGAGCGACGAGAUGCGUGGAGCUUUUUCUCGGAGAAGAAGGGGAUGUCAGGAGGAUUGCGCUGCUUCCACAGGAUGGCGGUCUGGCUCAGUUGAUGGACAUAGCUCGGAGCAAGUUCCCCGACCUCAAGGAAUUGUCUGUUAAUUUCAAGGACGACCGGGGUGACUUGGUAACGGUCGACUCGACUACGGACCAGAGCGCAUGGUUCGAUGAAGCGAAUUCCCGGUCCCAAGGGCCACUUCGGUUGUACGUAACCGAAGGUAAUCGCGAACGGGUGUCGUGCCCCGAUCAGCCGAUUCGGGAACACCACUCUGUUGAUCCGUGCUUGUCGCACGAUCAGUAG
rnacentral:rRNA from 1 species